rnacentral:rRNA from 1 species
AACGAACGCUGGCGGCAUGCCUAACACAUGCAAGUCGAACGAAACCUUCGGGUCUAGUGGCGCACGGGUGCGUAACGCGUGGGAACCUGCCCUUAGGUUCGGAAUAACUCCCCGAAAGGGGUGCUAAUACCGGAUAAUGUCUUCGGACCAAAGAUUUAUCGCCUUUGGAUGGGCCCGCGUGGGAUUAGCUAGUUGGUAGGGUAAAAGCCUACCAAGGCGACGAUCCAUAGCUGGUCUGAGAGGAUGAUCAGCCACACUGGGACUGAGACACGGCCCAGACUCCUACGGGAGGCAGCAGUGGGGAAUAUUGGACAAUGGGCGAAAGCCUGAUCCAGCACUGCCGCGUGAGUGAUGAAGGCCUUAGGGUUGUAAAGCUCUUUUACCCGGGAUGAUAAUGACAGUACCGGGAGAAUAAGCUCCGGCUAACUCCGUG